ACUUGGGAGUGCAGUGGUGUUUACAAUUAAUUGAUAACAGACAGUUACAGAUUUCUUUGUUCCUUCUUCACUCCCACUGCUUCACUUAACUAGCCAAUU
rnacentral:Y_RNA from 1 species